AAAUUUAAGUCGGAUGUAUUUCUUAUGUCAACUAAUUAUCUUCAAAAGAGAUUAAAGCUGAGUAAACAUACUUGUUUGUAUAACAGAUAAAAUGCCAUGUUUAUGUCGACCGCUAAUUAACACCUUUGUUGAUAGUUCAAGCGAAAUGUUAGUGUGUUGAACAUUUUUCACCUGAGAUAAAAACGAAACGAAUUUUAAUGACCUAAGC
rnacentral:lncRNA from 1 species